rnacentral:tRNA from 1 species
GGGCAUAGCUCAGUGGCAGAGCACUUGCUUAGCUUAGCAUGCAUGAGGUCCUGGGUUCAAUCCCCUGUACCUCCA